GCCGGGCGGCGGUUACUGGGCAGGGCGACAAACAUGGCGGCGUCUGGGAGCAGCAGCGCUGGCCGGGCGGAUAACGGCUACGGGAGCCAGCAGCCCCGGCGGAGGAAGGGCCCGGGCGCCCUGGCCACGACCUAUCUGGUCAUUUACAACGUGGUGAUGACGGCGGGAUGGCUUGUUAUAGCAGUUGGUCUAGUCCGAGCAUAUCUGACUAAGGGUAGCUACCAUAGUCUUUACUACUCAAUAGAAAAGCCCUUGAAAUUCUUCCAAACUGGAGCUCUGCUUGAGAUUCUACAUUGUGCAUUUGGCAUUGUUCCCUCUUCUGUUGUCCUGACCGCUUUCCAAGUGAUGUCAAGGGUCUUCCUGACAUGGGCUGUAACACACAGUGUAAAGGAGGUACAGAACGAAGAUAGUGUCCUCUUAUUUGUUGUUGCCUGGACGAUCUCUGAAAUUAUCCGUUACUCCUUUUAUACAUUUAGCUUAUUAAACCACCUCCCUUACCUCAUCAAAUGGGCCAGGUACACACUGUUCAUAGUACUGUAUCCAAUGGGAGUCUCAGGCGAAUUACUCACAAUAUAUGCUGCUUUGCCCUUCGUCAGACAGGCUGGCUUGUAUUCCAUUAGUUUACCUAACAAAUACAAUUUUUCCUUUGAUUACUAUACAUUCCUGAUCCUGGUUAUGAUCUCUUAUAUUCCAACCUUCUAGUCUAUGCAGAAUGAUGCAUCGUAUCCUAAGUAAGAUUUAAACUUGAGCAGUGUUGAAUUCUACAAUCAGCGCUUAUAAUCUUCUAAUCUUUCCUCAGUUGUAUUUCCACAUGCUACAUCAGAGGAGAAAGGUACUUUCCUAUACUGAAGAACACAAGAAAUCUGAAUAAUUCCAGCUCUUUUUCAGAACUUUUCACACACCAAAAUGCUGCAGACUUUCAGUAACCCAGCACAUUUAUAUAAAAUAAACCAGGAGUGUAAAAAUUAAAUAGGAAGUUUAAAAAAAAUGUAGAAAGAAUAACUAAUGUGAUGAUUUUCUUGAAAUUUCACUAUGUAAAACACUAGAAUAUCAUUUUCAGCAUGCAUUGCUAUGAGAAAUUUAUGUGGCUUUGACUUCUUAGCCUUUUAUGUUUCUUUAAUUUAUAUGCUAACAAGACCAGUUUAUCACUUGACACCUGAAAGUUACAAAAUGAGUGAUAAGUUGAACCCACUAAGUGCAGUGCUUGAAUUGGGAUUAUAUUAUUAUUGUCAUUGCUUUUUAAAAGCGCUUGACUACAUGCCAGAAAUUGUAUGUAUUGCUGUAGAGGCAAACUAUAUUCUCUGGAAUGCUCUAAGAUUUGGCUGGGACUCCAGUAACCAGGCAGAUUGUUUAAAUCUAGCAAGAGAAUUUCCUAACUUGAAAGGCAAGUGGGAGGGAGAGCAGGGAAGCAAUUAUUGAAACUGAAGGGAAAUGUGAUUCUCUAGGAAUUUAAAAAGUACGGUGUCCUACCAGCAUAUGUUAUCUAAAGAUUUAACUGUUUAUUACCUCAAGCUCUGUUCCAGUAUUGUUCCUACAGAGCUGUAAUAUUGCUCUGAAAUAUUAAAACUGCCUUGAGUACAGCAGCCUCAGAUCACUUUUUUGAAAUACAUAGGGGGGAAAAGUGUAAUUUUAACUUUUCUGAAAUAAUUGGGUAAAGCAAUGUCAUCAGUCAUGGACCUGUACAGAGUGACACCAAGACAUGUCACUCGGUUGCUCAGUGUUUUCGUCCCUUUAUGGCUUUAAAUUAUCCCCAUAACUUCUAACUGUUGUCCACUAGCUCAUUUAACCUCUUUUGUUAACACACUUGUAAACAGAGAAGAUUCAAAUACAUUUCUGACUUUCAACUUUAAGAAUAAAUGUACACAAUCACAGUCUAAAUAUGUUCUAUACAGAGCCUUUUUCCAAAUUGUGUUUUGCCGCUUGAACUUAAAGAUGAAUAGGCAAUAAUUUCAGUGAUACUGUUAAAUCUAAUUUUAAUGAUGCUAGUAAGCUGAACAUUUCUUUUUUUAAAUGUAGUCAUUCAUAGAGGGGCAGUAUUUCCAUGAACAGAUUUAUAGUUACAUUUGUUUUAGGUUUUUCUGAAGAAGAAAAAAUCUAAAUCUUUUCAUUACUACUUUUUAUUUUUGUUGGCAAUACUGUUUCUUGUUCCAUUGAAAAAGUACAGCUGAAUUUUAUCAGUGCUCAAAAUGGUAAAGAGCUUUCGAUAUGUAAAUAGCGAAACCUUAUAAUUCAGCAGAAAUAUACCAUGGCAACACUGGGGAGGGGAGAAAACCUAGAGAUAAUAGUACUGGUCUGUUUUAGAGAAAUAUAGCAGUGUGUUUGAUUUACUGUACAAAAUAAUGUAAAUGUACGUCUUUAUUGACCAAUAAAUCUCUCCUCCUACCCCCUUCAGAUUGGCUAUCCAGGUUAAUUAUAGCCUGUGUUUUCAAAUGGAGGAACCCAAAUACAUACAUAGACACAUAAAUCACAAUGGCCUGAGUUUCACAAGUUCUGAACACUCAGAGCUCCCAUUUGAAAUCAGUGGGAAUUCUGGAUGCUCAAUUCCUUUGAAAACCAAGCCACCUCGAUUUAGAUGACUAAAUAUGGAGUUAGGAGUAACUUUAGACUCCCAUGUCUAAACAUUUUGGCCUAUGUGAAUGAUAUAUGAAAUGGGAUACGUUAGCUAUAUUGAUGGGAAGGAGGCUUGUACAAUAGUUUUAAUUAAAUGGCUUUGGGUUUGCUAAGAAGCAGAGAGAUUGCCACGAAUUUUUGAGAAUGGGGAGAAGGCUCUGUAUAAUUACCUAUUUAGUUAGAUAAGUUUUUAUAUUUUGGGAUUUUAUCACUUCUCUACCAAUAACACAAUACCGUAUAUAAAGGUAAUUGACCACACAUGUAAAUGAACUCCUACAUUUUUUUAAAAAAAAUGGAACUAGCAUUCGCAGAUGUGAAAAAUACAUUGUUUUGGUUAUAAGAAAUCUCGUCAUCAAACAAAAACCUAUUCAAGAAUUCAGUACUCCACGUUUUCAACAUGUAAAAUGCAUUCCUGCUGUUCUUACUCAGACUAAACUCCUGUUUUAGUUGGUAGAAGUUCAUCCUGAAUAAGGACUGCAGAAUCAGGCCCCAAGAUAUCUUUUUAAUAACUGGUUUCUUUGUUCAUAAUAUUAAUUUUCUUUUUAUAAAAUGAGAAUGAACAUACAUUCUGUGAAGUGUGUAUCUGUCACUGAAAUUUAAUUCAUUUAUGUGAACCUAAUAGUGGAGGGUUUCAUAGGUACUUUAUUUGGUAUAAUCUAGACAGUUUUUUCAUAAACUGUUUACUUGACUCACAUACUUUCUCCGUUCCACUGGUAUCAUCAAACUGCUACAGCAGAUAUCUGCUUCUGCGUUGAUGGUUUUCAUGAUGUGCAUAAUCGUUUGUAGACAGGUUACUAACUUGUGUCCUACCGUGCUUCUUUAUCCAAGUUUGUCAUUACUAUACAUGGAAGAAACACCAUGGUCCUUCCUAGUAGACAAUGUACACCUGGAAGGAAAUUUUGUAGAAAUUUUCAUAGUAUAAUUUACAGUAAAAUGCAAACUAAAGGUGCAGAUAAAUUGUAAUUUUUCACAAUGUGAUGCUUCUAUCAACAUUUUUUUUAUUUACCAGUGAAGAUUGGCAUUUGUGUGGACCACUCUGCAAAAUCAUUUUAAAGUAAUCUUUCAAGAUACAAAUAUUCAUGAAUAUACAUCAAAUCAGGUAUAUGUUGGUGCAUAUUGAUAUAAUGAAAUUUGGAUGAAAACUGUACGUUAUAUACAGUCGUUUUUGUAUUUUUGUAUGUUGUGAAGAAUAAAAUUGUAAUUUUAUAAGUCUUUGAUUUACUAAGAUAAUUAUAAGUUAAAUGUAUUUUUUUGUAUAUGUAGGAACCAGAUAUUACAUGGAGCUCUGAAAUACUAAGCUUAGACUUUUUAUGCAUGUUUGGAAGAUAUUUCUACCAGAUGUUAAUGUAGUGAAACAGUUUGUUCACUAAAUAUUAAUUUGUGUUGUUGCAUUGUGUAAUAAAUGGAUUCUGUGCUCUUUGCCUGGCUUUGAACUACUGACCAGUGAUACUAAUUUCUGUAAUCCAAAUAAUAAAAUUAUGGAUGAAA